AGUGAACGCUGGCGGUAGGCCUAACACAUGCAAGUCGAACGGCAGCACAGUAAGAGCUUGCUCUUACGGGUGGCGAGUGGCGGACGGGUGAGGAAUACAUCGGCAUCUACUUUUUCGUGGGGGAUAACGUAGGGAAACUUACGCUACUACCGCAUACGACCUACGGGAGAAAGCAGGGGAUCUUCGGACCUUGCGCGAUUGAAUGAGCCGAUGUCGGAUUAGCUAGUUGGCGGGGUAAAGGCCCACCAAGGCGACGAUCCGUAGCUGGUCUGAGAGGAUGAUCAGCCACACUGGAACUGAGACACGGUCCAGACUCCUACGGGAGGCAGCAGUGGGGAAUAUUGGACAAUGGGCGCAAGCCUGAUCCAGCCAUACCGCGUGAGUGAAGAAGGCCUUCGGGUUGUAAAGCCCUUUUGUUGGGAAAGAAAAGCAGCAGGUGAAUACCCCGCUGUUCUGACGGUACCCAAAGAAUAAGCACCGGCUAACUUCGUG
rnacentral:rRNA from 1 species